AUUGAACGCUGGCGGCAGGCCUAACACAUGCAAGUCGAGCGGAUGAGAGGAGCUUGCUCCUCGAUUCAGCGGCGGACGGGUGAGUAAUGCCUAGGAAUCUGCCUAGUAGUGGGGGACAACGUUUCGAAAGGAACGCUAAUACCGCAUACGUCCUACGGGAGAAAGUGGGGGAUCUUCGGACCUCACGCUAUUAGAUGAGCCUAGGUCGGAUUAGAUAGUUGGUAGGGUAACGGCCUACCAAGGCGACGAUCCGUAACUGGUCUGAGAGGAUGGUCAGUCACACUGGAACUGAGACACGGUCCAGACUCCUACGGGAGGCAGCAGUGGGGAAUAUUGGACAAUGGGCGAAAGCCUGAUCCAGCCAUGCCGCGUGUGUGAAGAAGGCCCUCGGGUCGUAAAGCACUUUAAGUUGGGAGGAAGGGCUUACAGCGAAUACCUGUGAGUUUUGACGUUACCGACAGAAUAAGCACCGGCUAACUUCGUGCCAGCCGCCGCCGUAA
rnacentral:rRNA from 1 species